UUUUAUUUUAUUUUUUUUUCUUUCCUGUGCCUCCAUUUUCUGUGCAACCAACACGUGGAAGUUUUGCCUGGAUCACAUCCCAUCCACAGGGACUUGGAGGAUCUCCUUGCUCCAGGCCCCUCAUACCAAUGUGGUGCAAUAUAAACUGCUUUGAACUCGUGCUUCUGUACUCUGCUGGUUUCCAGACAAAGGUCCCAAUGGAUACGAGAAGGGGCAGCUUGGAUAAAAUUUCACAGCCUGCAUCUCACUCACGUGCUUGCCCCAGCUGCAGCCAUUUCAGCGUCUCCGUGGAGUUCCUGGCACCAGGACCCUGUUUGCCAAAGGUUGAUUCACCUGUCAGUUUGGGUGUCAGUCAUCAAAGAAGCUUAGAAGACUGCUGUCCAGAAGAAAACAAAGGAUAUGUCUCUAAUUCAGAUUCUGCAGAUGGUGACACAGAAACACAGAAUUCAGUAUUUUGUGAACCUUCCCAAGGAAAAACAAGUAAUGCAAAAGAAGCAAACUCUUCCAAGUUAUUGGACUCUGAAGAGGCAGAAGGAGAUCCUCAGAUUCAAGCAGCUAUAAGGAAAAUGAAUAAGCUUGACACAAUACUGGCAAAAAAACACAUUAAAGAGAGAGCAGUUAAAGAACAAGGCAAGGAAAUGAGAGCAAAGCUCUGGGAAGAACUUAAGUCUGUCGUAGACUCCAUGGGGAUCCACGAGGAGAUGGAAAACACAAAGCUCUUCUUAACUUUGAUCUCAUCGUGGCAGGACACAACUGGUCCCUGUCAUGUUAAACAGGCUGAAACACAUGCUUUGCUAUUUCACACACAAAUUAGUCCAGAAGAUUAUGCCUUCCAUAGAACCCAGCAUAAUCAGGAUUAUCCAAGUGAAAUAGAAACGAACAAAUUCCCGAAUCAAGCAGAAAAAACAACACAGAAUAAAAGUAAAAGCAGUCAGCAUUUCAUUAAAAAGAAUGUAGAGCUUGCAAAGGAUUCAGGAAAACAGGUACCUAUGCUUGAAAGUGAAAGGAAAAGGUUAACUGAGCUGCUGAAAGAUACAGAAGAUGGAAGUACAUUGCAAGAUCUUGAGGAGGAUGUAUGUGGCUGCCUGGUGCCAGGAGAAGGGUACACACCCGAACCGAUGGAAUUUCAUCAUCUAAAUGAGAUAGACAGGAAGCUUCAAAUACUACUGUCUAAUGGCGAUUUUUCUGCAAUUUCCAGCUCUUGCUCAAGUCCUCCAAGCCAAAUUUAUCAGGAAUCUCUGGUUUAUGCAAACAGAAACCUAGAAGUACUUCCAGGUGAAAUGGUUCUACGAGACAAUAAAGAAUAUCGUGAUCAGCAAAACCGUCUGAAGGAAAUAGAUCGUCAGCUGAAAUCUUUAGAGAGAAAUUUUAUUGAAGAGAAAACGGGCCUCUCUGAAGAGCAGCUUAAAACCCUUCUGGAAGAAUGUAUGCUGCCUCAGAGAACAAUAAGCAACGUUACCAUGCCAAAGUCUCAGGAAUCUCUUUCUUGUGGAUUAAGUCCCCCUUGUUACACAAGUCAAGUCUCCAUUCUUCACUCCACAUCUACUCUUUCCAAAAUGUUAGUUGAAGACCAUAUUGUAGGGAUGUUAACAGCUCUGGAAAAGGCUGGACUUGAAGACAAAAGCUUAUGUGUUAAUGCUGAGAGUGAAAUCCCUAGCUACUAUAUCAGCAAAGCAUUGGCUGAUAGUCACUUAUCAAAGGAUUCACUGGCCCAAACAGAGGAACCCGAUGACCUAGAAGGUUUACAGAAGAUGAGAGAUAAGAGUAUUACUGAAGGUUACUUUAUGUCAAGAGCACUCAACACUGAAAGGCUGAAGAAACCUUCUUUCUUGGGUGAACCAUUAUACUGCAUCAGCAUGAACAAUGAGCCAUCCACAGUGCCUGACAUUCUCAGCAUACCACUGCAAACCAAAGGAGAUGCAAGCAUUUGAAGAGUGGAGACGGGGAAGAAAGAGGUGGCCAGGACAGUCAGAUGGUGGUCAUGAUGGUUCGGAGAAUCAAAGAGAAGCACUUGUGCCAGGGGCAGCUUCAUCUGAUGCUGGAGUGAAGUGGCUAGAUACGAUCUUGUUCCUCAAGCAAGAAGCUCAUGCUUAACCAGUUGCUGUAACAUGAAUUGAAGUUCUUCACUUAAUCUGAAUAAAGGCAGAGACAAAUCGGAUCCAUCUGCCGACUUUCCCUGUUACACUGGUGUUUUAAGAUGGAGUAUGUCAAUUCAAGCAAAACAUCCGGCACUGUAGCCACUGUAUAAUGAAGUGAGUAGGUAACUGCUUAUGCUGUUGUUAUGGACAUAGUCACUAUGAGGUAAUUCUAUUGCACAAGAUGGAAAAGAGAUUUCAGUGAAGCAUUCUGCUAUUAGUAGAUUUCUGCAUGCGAUAUCUCAUUGUGAAAGUUUAAGAUAUAAUUUGUUCUUGCUUUUCUGGUGUAUAUUCUGUUGUCUUAAAUCUCUCACUGUUAUGAAAAAGCUUUUCCAAGCAUCCUCAAGGAAGAGCAUUGUCACUUCAGUCUCCUUGAAGCCACGAAUACAGCUUCUGUUCACAUCAAACUUUUCAGGGGUGAGCACAUUAUUCUGAAAGAAUCUGAUGUGUAAAUUCUGACAGGAACUCUGCAAUUACACUUCAGGUCUUGGCUUGUGCUGAGCACCCUACACCAGCUGUGGUCACUCACAGUGCUGUAACAAAUCGCUUAGGUUGGGCAUCCAACUCAGGUUGUGUCAAAAACUGGUGUUGUAACAUUUACCUGUUUACCUGUGUUUGGUUUGUGUGGUAUUGUAUUGCAUAGCGAGUUCUCUAUAAAGAUGGUGUUUCAUGCUUGAUGUUACAGGUGAAAUAUCAAUUCAUUUUUUUUUUGGCAAAACAUGUUCACUGAUAAGAAGCGUAGUAUAACAGAGAUAAAACAUAGCCAUGAAAUUAUUUGCUGAGACAACACCAAUACCAGGGCCAAAGCAAAGCUGAGCCUGGGAGAACUCAUGAUUUUUGAACUUGUCCUUCAGACUUUUUCGCCUGUUUUAUACUGAGGAAUAAGUUUUGUGUGCAUAGAUUUGUACUGUUUUGUACUCUGUGUUGUUUCCUACUAUGAUUUUGCAGCACAAGGUAAAUAAUUUUGUUUCAGAAAUGUAAUAAUUGUGGGGGAAAAAAAUCCAUGAAAGGAUGGUUUUGGUGCGCUUGUCUUGAUCUGCUCAGUGGUGUAGGGCCAAACGAUUCUCCCAUUGUCACUGAAUCUUCUCAGGAGUACACAUAUGUGUAGUGGCCAGUGCACAUUUACUGUGAUGUCUGUGUUCUUUUAAAUAACAGGCUCCAAAGUGCUUUCCUCUGAAGAAGAAAAAUUAGGGGGAUUCAUUAUCAUGACUCACAGUUGUAUAUUAGAAAUAUGUAUACAUUAGUAGAAUGAUUUAAAGAGCGAUAGUGUUGAUUUUCAGUAUCAAAAAGUUCAGUGCAGAUGUAUAGUUGGGCAGAUGCAGAGCAGUUGAGGAUCUUUUCCAUUUUCAAAGAGAAGUGACAUUCUAAAAUUCCAGAUGAAAAGUAAAUCAUUGAUGACUAUAGGCAUAAAAGAUUAAAAAGAGUGGAAUUAUGGUUAAUAUUCUUGUAUGUUGAGAAUUCCAGAUUAAUUCAAAGGAAUUCUAUCUAUGGGUGAAAAAACUUGCGACUGCAUCUUAAAGAAAUGUCUUUAUUUUAUGAUUUUUGGCCCAUAAUCUGUUGACAAGAAAAAAAACAAACAAACCUAAAAAUGAAAGAGAUGAAGGAACCCUGCGGGGAGUUCUGCCAGAUGCUUCUUUCCAAGGCAGAAGAUGGCUGCUGCGCCUUCUGAGACUCCAGAGUGUGUUCCCCCUCCCACCUUUGACGCCAAAUUUCAAGAAUGGUUCCAGUUCCAGAAACGAACUGUAUCUUAACACAGACUCCUGAUACUUUGAACCAGCAGGACAGAG